AUGAAUAAAUUAUCCAACUUUAACACUCACAGACAGGAGCAUUUAAAAUUUUUGUUUUUGUUUUUUUCCUUUUUUUUUUUCCUUUUUUUUUUUUUUUUUGUCAAGUACUUUCUUAAAGAAACAAUAGCACCACAUUGGCAUAGCCGGCCAAACAAUAAAUGGGAAAGCAAAAUGUGCUACAUCUUCCAUUUAAGCAGUCUCCCAAGUGCAUAAACUAGUAACAGAAACUCUGGAGCCACAGUGCAUGAGAUGGUUUCAUCUACACAAAC
rnacentral:lncRNA from 12 species